rfam:Schistosoma mattheei strain Denwood, Zambia genome assembly, scaffold: SMTD_scaffold0003578
AUCCAGCUGACGAGCUCCAAAUGGGACGAAGCGCGCGUCCUGGAU